rnacentral:misc_RNA from 1 species
AAGGAUCAUUAUUGAUUUUAAAGGAUGUGCUGGCUCUCUUCUUUGGGAAGGAGCAAUGUGCACUCCUUGAAACCGAUAUCCACCUGUGCACAUUCUGUAGACGGGGGAGGCAUUUCCCUGUCUAUGUCUCUUCACAAACCCUUAUCAAAUGACAUUGAAUGCUUUUGUGUACUUUUGAUACAAACAAUACAACUUUCAACAAUGGAUCUCUUGGUUCUC